rnacentral:rRNA from 1 species
UUAUACCGUGAAACUGCGAAUGGCUCAUUAAAUCAGUUAUCGUUUAUUUGAUAGUACCUUACUACUUGGAUAACCGUGGUAAUUCUAGAGCUAAUACAUGCUAAAAACCCCGACUUCGGAAGGGGUGUAUUUAUUAGAUAAAAAACCAACGCCCUUCGGGGCUUCUUGGUGAUUCAUGAUAACUUUACGGAUCGCAUGGCCUUGCGCCGGCGACGGUUCAUUCAAAUUUCUGCCCUAUCAACUUUCGAUGGUAAGGUAUUGGCUUACCAUGGUUUCAACGGGUAACGGGGAAUUAGGGUUCGAUUCCGGAGAGGGAGCCUGAGAAACGGCUACCACAUCCAAGGAAGGCAGCAGGCGCGCAAAUUACCCAAUCCCGACACGGGGAGGUAGUGACAAUAAAUACUGAUACAGGGCUCUUUUGGGUCUUGUAAUUGGAAUGAGUACAAUUUAAACCUCUUAACGAGGAACAAUUGGAGGGCAAGUCUGGUGCCAGCAGCCGCGGUAAUUCCAGCUCCAAUAGCGUAUAUUAAAGUUGUUGCAGUUAAAAAGCUCGUAGUUGAAACUUGGGUCUGGCUGGCAGGUCCGCCUCACCGCGUGUACUUGUCCGGCCGGGCCUUCCUUCUGGAGAACCUCAUGCCCUUCACUGGGCGUGUUGGGGACCAGGACUUUUACUUUGAAAAAAUUAGAGUGUUCAAAGCAGGCCUUUGCUCGAAUACGUUAGCAUGGAAUAAUAGAAUAGGACGUGCGGUCCUAUUUUGUUGGUUUCUAGGACCGCCGUAAUGAUUAAUAGGGACAGUCGGGGGCAUCAGUAUUCAAUUGUCAGAGGUGAAAUUCUUGGAUUUAUUGAAGACUAACUACUGCGAAAGCAUUUGCCAAGGAUGUUUUCAUUAAUCAGUGAACGAAAGUUAGGGGAUCGAAGACGAUCAGAUACCGUCGUAGUCUUAACCGUAAACUAUGCCGACUAGGGAUCGGGCGAUGUUCUUUUUCUGACUCGCUCGGCACCUUACGAGAAAUCAAAGUUUUUGGGUUCUGGGGGG